rnacentral:rRNA from 1 species
UACGAAGGGGGCUAGCGUUGCUCGGAAUCACUGGGCGUAAAGGGUGCGUAGGCGGGUCUUUAAGUCAGGGGUGAAAUCCUGGAGCUCAACUCCAGAACUGCCUUUGAUACUGAAGAUCUUGAGUUCGGGAGAGGUGAGUGGAACUGCGAGUGUAGAGGUGAAAAUUCGUAGAUAUUCGCAAGAACACCAGUGGCGAAGGCGGCUCACUGGCCCGAUACUGACGCUGAGGCACGAAAGCGUGGGGAGCAAACAGGGAUUAGAAACCCUUG